ACUGCUCAGUAACACGUGGAUAACCUGCCCUUGGGUUCGGGAUAACCCCGGGAAACUGGGGCUAAUACCGGAUAGAUCAAAGAAACUGGAAUGUUCUCUGGUUUAAAACUCCGGUGCCCAAGGAUGGGUCUGCGGCCUAUCAGGUAGUAGUGGGUGUAACGUACCUACUAGCCUACGACGGGUAAGGGUUGUGAGAGCAAGAGCCCUGAGAUGGAUUCUGAGACAUGAAUCCAGGCCCUACGGGGUGCAGCAGGCGCGAAAACUUUACACUGCGGGAAACCGCGAUAAGGGGACCCCGAGUGCCAGCACCUAGUGCUGGCUGUCCCGCUGUCCAAACAACAGUGGUUAGCAAGGGCCGGGCAAGACCGGUGCCAGCCGCCGCGGUAACACCGGCGGCCCGAGUGGUAGCCGCUAUUAUUGGGUUUAAAGGGCCCGUAGCCGGCCUAUUAAGUCUCUUGGGAAAUCUGGCGGCUUAAUCGUCAGGCGUCCAAGAGAUACUGGUAGGCUUGGGACCGGGAGAGGUGGGAGGUACUCCAGGGGUAGGGGUGAAAUCUCGUAAUCCUUGGGGGACCACCGAUGGCGAAGGCAUCCCACCAGAACGGGUCCGACGGUGAGGGACGAAAGCUGGGGGCACGAACCGGAUUAGAUACCCGGGUAGUCCCAGCUGUAAACGAUGCUCGCUAGGUGUCAGGUGCGGUGCGACCGCAUCUGGUGCCGCAGUGAAAACUUGAAGCGAGUCACCUGGGAAGUACGGUCGCAAGGCUGAAACUUAAAGGAAUUGGCGGGGGAGCAC
rnacentral:rRNA from 1 species